rnacentral:rRNA from 1 species
UCUAUGGGUGGUGGUGCAUGGCCAUUCUUAGUUGGUGGAGCAAUUUGUCCAAUUAAUUUCAUUAGCGAAUGAGACGUCAGCCUACUCACUAGCUACAUGGAAAUGAUCCUUUAUGGCUAGCUUCUUAAAGGGACUAUGGCCACUUAAGCCAAAGAAGUUUAAGGGCCAAGGAAGUUUAAGGCAAUAAUAGGUUUGUGAUGCCCUUAAAUGCUCUAGGCUGCACAUGCACUACAUUGAUGUAUUCAAUGAGUUUAUAGCCUUGGCUGACAAGCCCAAGUAAUUUUUGAAAUUUUAUCAUGAUAGGGAUAGAUCAUUGUAAUUAUUGGUCUUCAACGAGGAAUUCCUAGUAAGCUAGAGUCAUCAACUUGCAUUGACUAUAUCUCUACCAUUUGCACACACCACCCAUUUUUCCUAUCAAUUGAAUGAUCUAGCGAAGUGUUCAAAUCAUGGCAAUGUGCACGGUCCAUUGCUUAUGACAUCACAAUAAGUCCACUGAACCUGAUCAUUUAGUGGAAUGAGAAGUCGUAAUAAGGUUUUCGUAGGUGAACCUGGAGAAAGAUCAUUGUUGAAACCUACUCAACGAAUGAACUAUAGACACAUUAAUGAAACACUAAGGGGGCAAGGCUACCUCUAUGCCCCAAGCCCUUUCUAACCCCAGGCAAGCAUGACAGUCUCUUUGUUCUACCUCUUAGGUGGGCAAAACGAUCAGUAUCAUUGCCUGUGAUUGAAUAACAAACCCUUGGGGUGAAUUGCACCAAGGAACCAGAAUGAAAAGAGAAUGAGAGCCAUCACCAUCUCGUUUGUGGUGCAUGCAUGAGUGGCAUCAUGACUCUUUUAGCCAUCAAAAGCUAAAACAACUCUUAACAACAGAUAUCUUGACUCUCACAUUGAUGAAAGAUGUAGCAAAAUGUGAUAUUUGAUGUGAAUUGCAGAAUCCCAAGGACCAUCAAGUCUUUGAAUGCAAGUUGUUCCCUAAGCCAUUUGGCCGAGGGCAUGCCUACUUGGGUAUCAAGCAUCAUCACCCACUCCAAACCCCCACCCAUCGAGCUUUGAGUGAAAGGGCCAAAGAUGGCCUCUUAUGAUCUCAUCAAUCAUGGUUGGCCCAAAAGAAAGUCCUUAACAAUGAUAUGGCUAUAACAAUUGGUGCUAGUGUGCCUUGUCUCUUGUGAUGCAUGAGCUUUAAAAGAGAAUCAAGUUAAAAAUCCUAAACCGGGAUGCUAGGGCUAACGACAACAUUAGGGAGUCUGGAGACAUCAAUAGAGGCCUUGGAAUGAGUUAUCUUUUCUAUUUAAUGACCUACCCACCCUAGAAAAGGCUCAACUGUAGGUAAGGUCCAAAGACUAGAAGAGCAUCGCACAUCAUAUGGUGUCUAGUGCACCCUAGUGGCCUUUGAAAAUUUAGGGAUAGAGUGUCAUCCAAACUCAAUCGUACUCAUAACCACUCUUCAAGGUGAAUAGCCUUUGGUUGAUGGAACAAUAUAGGUAAAAGAAGUCAACAAAAUAGAUCCAUAACUUCAGAAAAAAGAUUGGCUUUGAGGGCUAGGCAAUGGGGUCCUAGUCUUGAACAAAUUUGGUUGCCAGUGCACUACUUGAGUUACUCCCGUAGUGAAAGUGGGUCAUCAUAUGCUAGCUGGGUGAUGAACUGGGAAUGGUUCCCUUGGAGGCCUUCCUCGAGCAAUGAAAAAUCAAUUCAAAAUUGGUACGGACAAGGGGAAUCUGACUGUUUAAUUAAAAAAAAAGCAUUGUGUUAGUCCCUGCAAAUGCUAACGCAAUAUGAUUUCUACCUAGUGCUCUGAAUGUCAAAGUGAAGUAAUUAAACCCAGUUUAGGUAAAUGGCAAGAGUAAUUAUGACUCUCUUAAGGUAGCCAAAUGCCUUGUCAUCUAAUUAGUGACGUGUAAGAAUAGAUUAACAAGAUUCCCACUAUCCCUAUCUAUUAUCCAACAAAACCACAACCAAGGGAAUAAGAUUGGCAGAUUUAGCAAGGAAAGAAGAUACUAUUAAGCUUGACUCUAGUUUGACUUUGUGAAAUGACUUGAGAGGUGUAGGAUAAGUGGGAACCCUUAGCCAAAAUUGAAAUACCCUUACUUUUAACAUUAUUUUACUUAUUCCAUGGAUUAGAGGUACGAUAGACCCUUUUUUCUAGACUUUAGGCAAGCCUUGGUCAAUUGAUCUAGGCAGAAGACAUUGUUAGGUGGGGAGUUUGGAUGGGGUGACACAUCUGUUAAAAGAUAACAUAGGUGUCCUACAAUGAGCUUAACAAGAACAAAAAUUUUGUGUGGAACAAAAGAGUGAAAGCUCAUUUGAUUCUAAAUGAAUACAAACUACGAAAGCGUAGCCUAUUAGUCCUUUAAACCUUCAAAAUUGAAGCUAAAGGUGUCAAAAAAGUUACCAUAAGGAUAAUAGACUUCUAAUAGCCAAGUGUUCAUAAUGACAUUGCUUGUUGAUCCUUCGAUGUUGGCUCCUCCUAUCAUUAUGAAGUAGAAUUCACCAAGUGUUGGAUUGUUCACCCACUAAUAGGGAAUGUAAGCUAGGUUUAGACCAUCAUAAGACAUGUUAGUUUUACACUACUAAUCGUAGCAUCACAAUAGUAAUUUAACCUAUUACGAAAGAAACCAUUGAUUCAUACAAUUGGUUAUUGUGCUUGGUUGAAAAACCAAUGGCACAUAGCUACUAUGCUCUGGAUUAUGACUAAAUGCCUCUAAGUUAGAAUCCAAGCUAGAAGUAAUGCACGUGCCCAUCGCCCGAUUGGAGACCUUUAGUAGGGGCCCAUGAUCCCCAAGUGCACGUGUUGUAGGUGUAACCCCCACAGCAAACAAGCCAUACGAGCCUUCUUGGAGCUCAAUUCCAACUAAACAAUAGGUAAAAUC